GAUGAAGAACGCAGCGAAAUGCGAUAAGUAAUGUGAAUUGCAGAAUUCAGUGAAUCAUCGAAUCUUUGAACGCACAUUGCGCCCGCCAGCACUCUGGCGGGCAUGCCUGUUCGAGCGUCAUUUCAACCAUCAAGCCCCCAGGGGCUUGUGCUGGGGCCCUGCGGCUGCCCGCAGGCCCUGAAAACCAGUGGCGGGCUCGCUAGUCACACCGAGCGCAGUAGCAAAUCUCGCUCAGGGCGUGCGGCGGGCUCCUGCCGUGAAACCCCCCACUGUAACCCCAAAGGUUGACCUCGGAUCAGGUAGGAAUACCCGCUGAACUUAAGCAUAUCAAUAAGCGGAGGA
rnacentral:misc_RNA from 1 species